rnacentral:rRNA from 1 species
GACGAACGCUGGCGGCGUGGAUUAGGCAUGCAAGUCGGACGGUAGGGCUUUAUCGUAAGAUAGAGUUUGAGAGUGGCGAACGGGUGAGUAACACGUAGGAAUCUACCCUUAAGACGGGGACAACCCAGGGAAACUUGGGCUAAUACCGGAUGAGAGUGCGAGAGAUUGCAUUUAAAAGGAUGGCGAAAGUUGUCGCUUAGGGAUGAGCCUUGCGGUCUAUUAGUUAGUUGGUGAGGUAAGAGCUCACCAAGGCGAUGAUAGAUAGGCGGCCUUAACGGGUGGUCGCCCACACUGGGAUUGAGAUACGGCCCCAGACUCCUACGGGAGGCAGCAGUCGAGAAUAGUCUACAAUGGCCGGAAGGCUGAUAGUGCGACGCCGCGUGAACCGAGGGAGCCCCUUCGGGGUGUAAAGGUUACUUUUUCGUAUUACCGUAGCAGUUGCUAUAUAUAUGGAUAGGUAUAUAUAGAGGGAUAGUAGUAUAGGAAUAAGCAACGGCUAACCGUUAGCCAGCAGCCGAC